rnacentral:rRNA from 1 species
GAUGAACGCCGGCGGUGUGCCUAAUACAUGCAAGUCGAACGCGUUGGCCCAAUUGAUUGACGGUGCUUGCACCUGAUUGAUUUUGGUCGCCAACGAGUGGCGGACGGGUGAGUAACACGUAGGUAACCUGCCCAGAAGCGGGGGACAACAUUUGGAAACAGAUGCUAAUACCGGAUAACAACGUUGUUCGCAUGAACAACGCUUAAAAGAUGGCUUCUCGCUAUCACUUCUGGAUGGACCUGCGGUGCAUUAGCUUGUUGGUGGGGUAAUGGCCUACCAAGGCGAUGAUGCAUAGCCGAGUUGAGAGACUGAUCGGCCACAAUGGGACUGAGACACGGCCCAUACUCCUACGGGAGGCAGCAGUAGGGAAUCUUCCACAAUGGGCGCAAGCCUGAUGGAGCAACACCGCGUGAGUGAAGAAGGGUUUCGGCUCGUAAAGCUCUGUUGUUAAAGAAGAACACGUAUGAGAGUAACUGUUCAUACGUUGACGGUAUUUAACCAGAAAGUCACGGCUAACUACGUGCCAGCAGCCGCGGUAAUACGUAGGUGGCAAGCGUUAUCCGGAUUUAUUGGGCGUAAAGAGAGUGCAGGCGGUUUUCUAAGUCUGAUGUGAAAGCCUUCGGCUUAACCGGAGAAGUGCAUCGGAAACUGGAUAACUUGAGUGCAGAAGAGGGUAGUGGAACUCCAUGUGUAGCGGUGGAAUGCGUAGAUAUAUGGAAGAACACCAGUGGCGAAGGCGGCUACCUGGUCUGCAACUGACGCUGAGACUCGAAAGCAUGGGUAGCGAACAGGAUUAGAUACCCUGGUAGUCCAUGCCGUAAACGAUGAGUGCUAGGUGUUGGAGGGUUUCCGCCCUUCAGUGCCGGAGCUAACGCAUUAAGCACUCCGCCUGGGGAGUACGACCGCAAGGUUGAAACUCAAAGGAAUUGACGGGGGCCCGCACAAGCGGUGGAGCAUGUGGUUUAAUUCGAAGCUACGCGAAGAACCUUACCAGGUCUUGACAUCUUGCGCCAACCCUAGAGAUAGGGCGUUUCCUUCGGGAACGCAAUGACAGGUGGUGCAUGGUCGUCGUCAGCUCGUGUCGUGAGAUGUUGGGUUAAGUCCCGCAACGAGCGCAACCCUUGUUACUAGUUGCCAGCAUUAAGUUGGGCACUCUAGUGAGACUGCCGGUGACAAACCGGAGGAAGGUGGGGACGACGUCAGAUCAUCAUGCCCCUUAUGACCUGGGCUACACACGUGCUACAAUGGACGGUACAACGAGUCGCGAACUCGCGAGGGCAAGCAAAUCUCUUAAAACCGUUCUCAGUUCGGACUGCAGGCUGCAACUCGCCUGCACGAAGUCGGAAUCGCUAGUAAUCGCGGAUCAGCAUGCCGCGGUGAAUACGUUCCCGGGCCUUGUACACACCGCCCGUCACACCAUGAGAGUUUGUAACACCCAAAGUCGGUGGGGUAACCUUUUAGGAGCCAGCCGCCUAAGGUGGGACAGAUGAUUAGGGUG